AUGAAGCGAUGAGACAACGAAGGGGUCAUCUAUGCGUCAGUUCUAUUUAAAGUACUUUACCUCGACAGCGCGUUUGUCCUGGUUGGCUUGCCUGAGUGCGCCGCAGCGCUUAAAGAUGCUCGAUGAACUGAUGCAGUGGGAGUUGCAAGACUGACCUCUGAAUUGGGAAUUGCAGACAUCAUGUGUGACUGAGUAUUGGUGUUAAUCGCCGCGCCAGCAGGUAUUAUCUGCUGGCUUUUUU
rnacentral:sRNA from 1 species